rnacentral:lncRNA from 1 species
ACCAGCAUAAUCCAUCCAGAAGUCAUCGCCAAUAACAAAGUGCAUUACACACAGAGGAUACAGAGCAUCUUGAAGAAGUUCUCAACAAAAAUAAUUAUAAAAAGGAUAUUAGUAAUUCUAAAAUUCUAAUUGCAAGAACUACACCCAUACUGUUUGGGUUUCUGAAUCAAUCAGCAUUAUAGAAACUCCUGUUGCUGGGUGUUUUACCGGACGAAAUCCUUUGCUUGCAUAACAACAAACAACAAAUAGGGCUUAGCCAUAUAUGUGUGCGUAGCUUCAACAAAUUAAUCAAACAAAAUUAUUGUCUCUCAGUUUCAAGGAACCAAACGAAAUCCAAUAAUUUUUCAACCUACCGCAUCAAACUGGUACAAUAGCAUGGACUGAAGAAUGGAUUUUAUUUUAACAAAAAGAGCACACAAGCCAGCUGUAGUUGGCCGCCGUGGACACCAUUGAAAAGCAAAAAAUGGUCUCGUACAAUAGCAUGGACUGAAGAAUGGAUUUAUUUGAACAAAAAGAGCACACGAACCAACUGUAGUUGGUCGCCGUGGACACCAUCCGAACAGCAACAAAUGGUUAUACAUCUGGUUUUCUAGGAGGAGAAUGACUUGAUGUUCCCUCCGUUCUCAGUGCUACCAACAGCGUCGGCUCCUUAGUGCUAGUUCAAGAGAGGAGAGAGAGAUUGGUUAGGUCAUAUGACAUAAGGAUAGCAACUUUCUGCUUCUCUGUGCUGGUUGCAGAGAAACAAAACAGAGAGGGCCAGAUCGGCCUCGCCACUCCGUCACCAGCGGCCCAGCCAUCCUCAACCUUGCCUGGCACACGACAUGGCCCCGCCACCCCCUCACCAGAGCUCGAACGGCUGCAUGUGUCUGCCCCGUGCAGCUACUCAACCCAGGUCAGGGCGGAGAUCCGCCAGCACCACUCGCUGCUCAUUCUCCUUCCUCCCUGCCGAUUGUCCUCCCACACAAUCUUCCUGCCAUGUUGUACACUCUCCGGCAAGCCUGUGCGGGUGCUCGACGUACGCGUUGCCCCCAUCCGCACUCGCCAAGCUCCACCCUGGGCACUACCCGUUCCCCGUCGUCGGCGCUCACCACGAGAGAGAGAGAGAGAGAGAGAGAGAGAGAGAGAGAGAGGAAACAGGCUGGAAAGAGGGGCAAGGGGCAAUACCUGUAGAGCUCUACCUACCAGCCAUGAAGCCCCGCCUCCGACUGCAAGGAAUUCGCACCAUCGCGCCGGAUCCCUCCGUCGCCCAGCUCCGGUGAGCUCCCACCUCGCCGCACACCUCUGGAUCCGCCUCCCCAGCACCUUCGACGCACGGAUCCGGCCCCUGCAAGCUCCGGCCACCGCCGCCACCAUUCAUCGAGCAGCCGCGCCGCCGCCAGUCGCUCGAGCAGCGGCGUUGACUCGAUCCAGGUAGC